UGCGGGCUUUUCUGUUUUAUUACUAGACUAUUACUGAUGUUUUGCUUAGUAAUUUGGAAAAUACAAGAUGCUAAUAAUGUUUCUUUUAUAUAUAUAAACAUAUCUGUAUUUUCCGAAAAUACAUGAUACAAAUAAUGUUUGUUUUUUUUAGGAAUGUGGCUUCACCGUCAUUUACUCGCACAGGGCAUGCAGAAACGAAACCGAAAUUCAUAAAGUGUAAGUUACAUUUACCGGCUUUAUUUUUUCUCAAUAUUAGUAUAACUGAUGUGUUGCUUGAUUUUUUUAUGCAUAAAACUAUGAUUGUUUUUUUGGGGAAUGUUGCUGCUUUCACCUUCGUUUGAUACUCGCAUUGGGAGGGCACGCAGAAGCGCAAUUGAGAACAAUAAAGAGAAUAUGUCUGCAAGACCAACUUCGUCUGGUACUCGAGGGCACGCAGCUGAGCAACUGGGAACAAUAAAGAGUACAUCAACAUGAAUGUGGCUACUCACAAACGCCAUAGGUCUCCUUCAGUUCUCAAAGCAACUGAGAAUAGUGUUGAUAAGGCCCCUGUUGCAAAGAGAGUCAAGACCGUUUUGUCAUGGAAAACAGAGACUGAUAUUGAUGUGGUUCCACACACUUUGCGUUUCUUUCCUGCACGGGAACCUGGACCACAGCACACACACCCCUGAGUCUCUUCAAAAUGUUUUUUUUCCUGAGGAUGCAGUUUUAACUCUAUGCCAUAACACCAUAGCUCAGGCUGCCAGGGCAACAGCAAAGGGUUGCAAGUAUAAAUGGAAAGAUGUCAGCGUCACUUUCAUUCACAGCUGACAUUUAGAAUCAUUUUCUUUUAAUUAGAGCCAUAUUGUACUAGUCAUAUAGAAUAUUGUUACAUGUAUACAUAUUGUUACUUUAUUAUUUAUAAUUACAAUGAAGCUUCUUUAUUUAUAAUUACAAUAAAGCUUCUUAACUCUAUUGUUUUGUUCAUGUUUUUAGCAUUUUU